rnacentral:rRNA from 1 species
UACGUAGGGUGCAAGCGUUGUCCGGAAUUAUUGGGCGAAAGAGCUCGUAGGCGGUUUGUCGCGUCUGCUGUGAAAACCCGAGGCUCAACCUCGGGCCUGCAGUGGGGUACGGGCAGACUAGAGUGGCGGUAGGGGAGAUUGGAAUUCCUGGUGUAGCGGUGAAAUGCGCAGAUAUCAGGAGGAACACCGGGUGGCGAAGGCGGGUCUCUGGGCCGAUGACUGACGUGGAGGAGCGAAAGCGUGGGGAGCGAACAGG